GAUGAACGCUGGCGGCGUGCCUAAUACAUGCAAUCCGAGCGAACAGACGAGGAGCUUGCUCCUCUGACGUUAGCGGCGGACGGGUGAGUAACACGUGGAUAACCUACUUAUAAGCCGGGGAUAACUUCGGGAAACCGGAGCUAAUACCGGAUAAUAUAUUAAACCGCAUGGUUCAAUAGUGAAAGACGGUUUUGCUGUCACUUAUAGAGGGAUCCGCGCCGCAUUAGCUAGUUGGUAAGGUAACGGCUUACCAAGGCGACGAUGCGUAGCCGACCUGAGAGGGUGAUCGGCCACACUGGAACUGAGACACGGUCCAGACUCCUACGGGAGGCAGCAGUAGGGAAUCUUCCGCAAUGGGCGAAAGCCUGACGGAGCAACGCCGCGUGAGUGAUGAAGGUCUUCGGAUCGUAAAACUCUGUUAUUAGGGAAGAACAAAUGUGUAAGUAACUAUGCACGUCUUGACGGUACCUAAUCAGAAAGCCACGGCUAACUACGUG
rnacentral:rRNA from 1 species